UACGGAGGUCUCAAGCGUUGUUCGGAAUCACUGGGCGUAAAGGGUGCGUAGGCGGCGGAGUAAGUCGGGUGUGAAAUUUGAAGGCUCAACCUUCAACUAGCACCUGAUACUGCUUUGCUCGAGACCUGGAGAGGAGCUUGGAAUUCUCGGUGUAGCAGUGAAAUGCGUAGAUUUAGAGAAGAACGCUCGCUGCGAAAGCGAAGCUCUGGCCAGCGUCUGACGCUGAGGCACGAAGGCUAGGGGAGCAAACGGG
rnacentral:rRNA from 1 species